rnacentral:lncRNA from 1 species
UUUAUUAACUCGGUUGGCGAGAGGAGGGGAGGGCAGCGGGAAAGCGCUGCGGGGAAAAUGCCAGUUCCAAAGACAGACCACCACCCCUGCCGCCCGCCCGGGCUGAGGGAGCGCGGCUCAGCCGGGUCCUUGUAACCUGUCUGGAGAAACUACUGAUAAGAGUGGCUGGAUUACAGAAACUAUGUCAGAGAACUGUGACAGAGUUUGAGUAAGGGAGCACUGUUUCUUGGAAACUGCUGGAAACACUCAAGUCUCCUUCCUUUGGGCUGAAACUGUUAUCUGAUAUAAUUACACAACAUUCAAGUGCAGGAGUGCAGGAAGAAGUGAUAAAAUCAAGAACAGCUUUAAUAAGGCCAGAAAAGGAAGAAAAAUGGAGUCAACUCAGGGGAACUUCAAGGUCCUUUUGGUGCUAUUCAAGCAAAUAAAUGGGAAUACUGCUAAAACAGAAGAAGCUGGGUGGAGUCAG